UGGGGAAUUUUGGACAAUGGGGGAAACCCUGAUCCAGCCAUCCCGCGUGUGCGAUGAAGGCCUUCGGGUUGUAAAGCACUUUUGGCAGGAAAGAAACGUCGCGGGUUAAUACCCCGCGAAACUGACGGUACCUGCAGAAUAAGCACCGGCUAACUACGUGCCAGCAGCCGCGGUAAUACGUAGGGUGCAAGCGUUAAUCGGAAUUACUGGGCGUAAAGCGUGCGCAGGCGGUUCGGAAAGAAAGAUGUGAAAUCCCAGAGCUUAACUUUGGAACUGCAUUUUUAACUACCGGGCUAGAGUGUGUCAGAGGGAGGUGGAAUUCCGCGUGUAGCAGUGAAAUGCGUAGAUAUGCGGAGGAACACCGAUGGCGAAGGCAGCCUCCUGGGAUAACACUGACGCUCAUGCACGAAAGCGUGGGGAGCAAACAGGAUUAGAUACCCUGGUAGUCCACGCCCUAAACGAUGUCAACUAGCUGUUGGGGCCUUCGGCCUUGGUAGCGCAGCUAACGCGUGAAGUUGACCGCCUGGGGAGUACGGUC
rnacentral:rRNA from 1 species